rnacentral:lncRNA from 1 species
CUCACCCGGGCUUCUGAGCUGAAGCUGGGACUGAUCAUAUCUGCUCUGCUGUGUCGCAGAUCAAAGGAAAUGAUGUUCUUGAAAGGACUUUUUGAGUGGUGGUAUUUCAGACAGAUGUGUCCCAGGAGCUCGUCCCUGGGGUGAGCAUGUUCCAGGCUCUCAUCUUCUUCCCCAUCUUUUUAUUGUAGAGAAACCUGUGGGGCUGCCCUGGGAUUGAAAAGGUCAACAUCUGGCCUGAGGCUCUAACUCAGCAACAGAGCGCUUAUACCUAGAGCU